GAUGAACGCUGGCGGCGUGCCUAAUACAUGCAAGUCGAGCGAAUGGAUUAAGAGCUUGCUCUUAUGAAGUUAGCGGCGGACGGGUGAGUAACACGUGGGUAACCUGCCCAUAAGACUGGGAUAACUCCGGGAAACCGGGGCUAAUACCGGAUAACAUUUUGAACCGCAUGGUUCGAAAUUGAAAGGCGGCUUCGGCUGUCACUUAUGGAUGGACCCGCGUCGCAUUAGCUAGUUGGUGAGGUAACGGCUCACCAAGGCAACGAGGCGUAGCCGGACUGAGAGGGUGAUCGGCCACACUGGGACUGAGGCACGGCCCAGACUCCUACGGGAGGCAGACGUAGGGAAUCUUCCGCAAUGGGCGAAAGUCUGACGGAGCAACGCCGCGUGAGUGAUGAAGGCUUUCGGGUCGUAAAACUCUGUUGUUAGGGAAGAACAAGUGCUAGUUGAAUAAGCUGGCACCUUGACGGUACCUAACCAGAAAGCCACGGCUAACUACGUGCCAGCCGCCGCAGUAA
rnacentral:rRNA from 1 species